rnacentral:tRNA from 1 species
GGAGAGGUGCUAGAGUGGUUGAAUAGGUCGCUCUCGAAAAGCGAUGUACCUUAAUUGGUACCGUGGGUUCAAAUCCCACCCUCUCCGCCA